rnacentral:rRNA from 1 species
AUGUUGGGUUAAGUCCCGUAACGAGCGCAACCCUUGUCCUUAGUUACCAGCACGUUAUGGUGGGCACUCUAAGGAGACUGCCGGUGACAAACCGGAGGAAGGUGGGGAUGACGUCAAGUCAUCAUGGCCCUUACGGCCAGGGCUACACACGUGCUACAAUGGUCGGUACAAAGGGUUGCCAAACCGCGAGGUGGAGCUAAUCCCAUAAAACCGAUCGUAGUCCGGAUCGCAGUCUGCAACUCGACUGCGUGAAGUCGGAAUCGCUAGUAAU